UACAGGAGGGUCGAGCGUUGUCCGGAAUCACUGGGCGUAAAGGGCGCGUAGGCGGCUCAGCAAGUCGGGUGUGAAACCUCCAGGCUCAACCUGGAGACGCCACUCGAUACUGCUGUGGCUAGAGUCCAGUAGGGGAGCGUGGAAUUCCUGGUGUAGCGGUGAAAUGCGCAGAUAUCAGGAGGAACACCAGCGGCGAAGGCGGCGCUCUGGGGCUGGAACUGACGCUGAGGAGCGAAAGCGUGGGGAGCAAACAGG
rnacentral:rRNA from 1 species